GCUCACCAAUUUCUCCGCCGCAUUUGGCUCCCUCUAAUUAAGGGUUUGCAUGGAUAUUUUGUAAUCCUAAAAUAUUAUAUAUAUAUAAUAGACUAAAAGUCUACAACACUUACCUUGACGUAUUAAAAACAAAAACAUAAAAUCAAAAAAAAUUCACAUGAUUUGAACCUAGGAUAUCACAUAUAUACUAUUCAUCCGGUGCAUGGCCAGAGUGAUCGAUAAUGUAAGAGACAGUUUCCAUUUUUUAACAGAAACAAAAAAAAAAAAAAGAGAGAGGGAAGACUUUUUCCAUUUAAUUGUUAAAUUUCCUCCGUUC
rnacentral:lncRNA from 1 species